GUCUGGGUGGCUCAGUCGGUUGAGCGUCCGACUUCGGCUCAGGUCAUGAUCUCACAGUUCGUGGGUUCAAGCCCUGCGUCGGACU
rnacentral:tRNA from 1 species